rnacentral:rRNA from 1 species
UACAGAGGUCCCGAGCGUUGUUCGGAUUCAUUGGGCGUAAAGGGUGCGUAGGUGGCGCCGUAAGUGGGGUGUGAAAUCCCGGGGCUUAACCCCGGGACUGCAUUCCAUACUGCGGUGCUUGAGGACUGGAGAGGAGACUGGAAUUUACGGUGUAGCAGUGAAAUGCAUAGAGAUCGUAAGGAAGACCAGUGGCGAAGGCGGGUCUCUGGACAGUUCCUGACACUGAGGCACGAAGGCCAGGGGAGCAAACGGG